rnacentral:rRNA from 1 species
UACGUAGGGAGCAAGCGUUGUCCGGAAUUAUUGGGCGUAAAGAGCUCGUAGGCGGUCUGUUGCGUCGGCUGUGAAAACCCGAGGCUCAACCUCGGGCCUGCAGCCGAUACGGGCAGACUAGAGUUCGGCAGGGGAGACUGGAAUUCCUGGUGUAGCGGUGAAAUGCGCAGAUAUCAGGAGGAACACCGGUGGCGAAGGCGGGUCUCUGGGCCGAUACUGACGCUGAGGAGCGAAAGCGUGGGGAGCGAACAGG